rnacentral:rRNA from 1 species
CGUAAUAGCUCACUGGUCGAGUGACCCUGCGCCGAAAAUUUAACGGGGCUAAAUCAUACACCGAAGCUUGGGAUUGACAGAUAUUCUUCAUGUUUUCAGGCAGGAUAGGAAAGAGAGAAAAUCUGAUGACGCCGAAGAAUGAGGCGGCAUUAAAUUUCUGUUCAAGUAAAAGCAUGAAGAUGUGAAGAAUAUCUGUCGAUGGUAGGAGAGCGUUCUAUGUGGGGAGAAGUCUGAGCGGAAGCGCAGGUGGACUGCAUAGAAGUGAGAAUGCCGGAAUGAGUAGCGCGAAAUAUGUGAGAAUCAUAUUGGCCGAAAGUCUAAGGUUUUUGGAGGAAGGUUCGUCCGCUCCAAGUAAGUCGGGAGCUAAGGCGAGGCCGAAAGGCGUAGUCGAUGCACAUACGGUAGAUAUUCCGUAACCGCCGAAGGAUUAAAGCAAAGGGACACCUGCGAAGCGUGUAACCCGGGCGAUGGUUGCCCCGGGCGUAAGGGACCGAAAUUUAGUAGGGAAGUACAUGUAGAGCAGGGCGAGAAAAGCUUUGUGUAUAUCCAAGGCGCCCGUACCGCAAACCGACACAGGUAGAUAGGAAGAGAAUUCUAAGGCCAACGGGAGAAGGGUAGUUAAGGAACUCGGCAAAUUGGUCCCGUAACUUAGGGAAAAGGGACGCUCCAGAGAUGGAGCCGCAGUGAAUAGGCCCAGGCGACUGUUUAGCAAAAACACAGGUCUCUGCCAAAUCGAAAGAUGAAGUAUAGGGGCUGACACCUGCCCGGUGCUGGAAGGUUAAGAGGAGAUGUGCAAGCAUUGAAUUGAAGCCCCAGUAAACGGCGGCCGUAACUAUAACGGUCCUAAGGUAGCGAAAUUCCUUGUCGGGUAAGUUCCGACCCGCACGAAUGGUGUAACGAUCUGGGCACUGUCUCAAUUACCCGCCCGGCGAAAUUGUAGUACCGGUGAAGAUGCCGGUUACCCGCGACAAGACGGAAAGACCCCAUGGAGCUUUACUGUAGCUUGAUAUUGGGUUUCGGUAAUUUAUGUACAGGAUAGGCGGGAGACUAGGAAGCCAGUACGCCAGUAUUGGUGGAGUCGUCCUUGGGAUACCGCUCUUAAGUUGCUGGAAUUCUAACCUGCGGCCGUGAAUCCGGCCGGGGGACAUUGUCAGGUGGGCAGUUUGACUGGGGCGGUCGCCUCCAAAAGAGUAACGGAGGCGCUCAAAGGUUCGCUCAGCACGGACGGAAACCGUGCUUUUGAGUGUAAACGCAGAAGCGAGCCUGACUGCGAGGGUGACGGCCCGAGCAGAAACGAAAGUUGGAGUUAGUGAUCCGGCGGUAUGUGAAUGGAAAUGCCGUCGCUCAACGGAUAAAAGCUACCCUGGGGAUAACAGGCUGAUCUCCCCCAAGAGUCCACAUCGACGGGGAGGUUUGGCACCUCGAUGUCGGCUCAUCACAUCCUGGGGCUG